rnacentral:lncRNA from 1 species
CCCAAUUCUUACGACCAGUGUGAACCAGGCAUUAAUUAACAACAGCACACUUACCACCACAUCGUUCCAUUACUAUUCUAUGUGUGAAAUUCCUUUCUUUCUUGCACACAACCAGGAAGGUUUUCACAAUAUUAGGAUGAUUGGCAAUUUUCUUAUCAUAUAUAUAUUUCUCAUCCUCUGUGAAGCUAUUUGUCUAAAAAUAUUUAAUUAUAGUGAUGAAUACGAUAGUAAACUCAG